GUGGGGAAUAUUGCACAAUGGGGGAAACCCUGAUGCAGCGACGCCGCGUGAGUGAAGAAGUAUUUCGGUAUGUAAAGCUCUAUCAGCAGGGAAGAGAAUGACGGUACCUGACUAAGAAGCCCCGGCUAACUACGUGCCAGCAGCCGCGGUAAUACGUAGGGGGCAAGCGUUAUCCGGAUUUACUGGGUGUAAAGGGAGCGUAGACGGCUGGACAAGUCUGAAGUGAAAGCCCAGGGCUCAACCCUGGGACUGCUUUGGAAACUGCCCGGCUAGAGUGCUGGAGAGGUAAGUGGAAUUCCUAGUGUAGCGGUGAAAUGCGUAGAUAUUAGGAGGAACACCAGUGGCGAAGGCGGCUUACUGGACAGUAACUGACGUUGAGGCUCGAAAGCGUGGGGAGCAAACAGGAUUAGAUACCCUAGUAGUCC
rnacentral:rRNA from 1 species